UACGGAGGGUGCGAGCGUUGUCCGGAAUCACUGGGCGUAAAGGGCGCGUAGGCGGUUCGGUAAGUCUCUUGUGAAAGCUCCCGGCUCAACUGGGAGAGGUCAAGGGAAACUACCGGGCUAGAGUGUGGCAGAGGAAGCUGGAAUUCCCGGUGUAGCGGUGAAAUGCGUAGAGAUCGGGAGGAAUACCUAUGGCGAAAGCAGGCUUCUGGGCCGUCACUGACGCUGAUCUGCGAAAGCUAGGGGAGCAAGCAGG
rnacentral:rRNA from 1 species